rnacentral:rRNA from 1 species
UACGUAGGGUGCAAGCGUUGUCCGGAAUUAUUGGGCGUAAAGAGCUCGUAGGCGGUUUGUCGCGUCUGCUGUGAAAACGCGGGGCUCAACUCCGCGCCUGCAGUGGGUACGGGCAGACUAGAGUGCAGUAGGGGAGACUGGAAUUCCUGGUGUAGCGGUGAAAUGCGCAGAUAUCAGGGAGGAACACCGGUGGCGAAGACGGGGUCUCUGGGCCGAUACUGACGCUGGAGGAGCGAAAAGCGUGGGGAGCGAACAGG